GAAUUGACUCUCUUAACUGUGGCAACUGGGGUGCUUUUGACUACUGGGGAAAAGGCACUAUGGUAACAGUGUCAUCAGCCAAUCCAACUGCACCAACUGUGUUUCCCCUGAUGCAAUGUGGUUCUGGGACUGGAGACUUGGUCACUCUCGGCUGCCUUGCCACCGGCUUCACACCCUCCUCACUGACCUACACAUGGAGCAAAAAUGGGGCUGCCUUGACGGACUUCAUUCAGUACCCUCCAGUACAGAAAGGGAACGUUUAUACGGGAGUCAGUCAAAUCCGAGUGAGGAGACAGGACUGGGACGCAAGGCAGACUUUCAAAUGUGCCGUGACACAUCCAGCAGGAAAUGCAGAGGCUGAUGUUACACGACCACUGGUGAUUUGUAAAUUGCCAACUCUAGUGUUGGCCUCCUCUGAGAAGGAAAACGAGGUUACCUUCUCCUGCUUGGCCAAAGAUUUUUCACCAAAUGAUUAUGAGUUCAAAUGGCUGAAAAAUGAAGAGGAUAUCCCCAACAAAAUAUACAAGAUCAAAACACCUUCUUGGGAUAGAAACUAUGAGAACGGAACUAAGGUGUACAGUGCAGCAAGUUUUCUUGCAGUACCACCCAGUGAGUGGACUGAGGACAGUAAGUUCACAUGUGUGUUUGAGGGGAAAUGUGAAGGUCAAAACACAUUUGUGAAUUCAUCCCUGACCUACAGAGAUACAACUCCACCUGAACAAUGCGAAGGUCAAGUGGAUAUAAAGAUCACUGGCCCCAAAUUGGAAGACAUCUUUUCAAAUAGAAAAGGAACUUUAGAAUGUCAUGUCACGGCAAACAAGCCAUCUGUCGAAAAGAUAUUCUGGGAGGACCACAACGGAAAGGAAAUGGCUGAUGCCUCAAUGACCCCCCCUAAAGGAAGUGUAGGCCCAUUCACCCUGCCACUUGAAAUCUCUUAUGAUGAAUGGAGCAAGGGGGUGAAACGCGUCUGCAUUGUUGAACACACAGAGGUGAUUGACCCAGUAAAGCAACUCUAUCAAAGGAGAAAUGGAGGACAGACUCAGCGUCCUUCAGUGUUCAUGCUGCCUCCAGUAGAACAUACUAGAAAAGAAAUGGUGACCCUGACUUGCUAUGUGAAAGACUUCUAUCCUCAAGAGGUUUUGGUGUCUUGGCUUGUUGAUGACGAGGAAGCAGACUCAAAGUACAAGUUCUAUACCACAAACCCUGUAGAAAACAAUGGAUCUUAUUCUGCUUAUGGCCAGUUAUCACUCAGCCUUGAGCAGUGGAAAAAGAAUGACGUGGUGUAUAGCUGUGUAGUUUACCACGAGUCUCUGGUUAACACAACUAAAGCUAUUGUCAGGUCCAUCGGGCAGAGAACAUUUGAAAAAACCAACCUGGUCAACCUCAACAUGAACAUCCCUGAAACGUGCAAGGCCUAGUAGAUGUUGUUUUGUGUCGUUGUGUCUUCUGUUGUUUGUUGUUUAAUGUUUGUUGCUUGUGAUAUGACAUUUUGUUUGUCUUCUUAAUGCAAAAUAAAAAAUAAAAAAAUGCCCUUUGCAACUCUGUUGAUGUA